GGGUUGUGAGGUUAAGCGACUAAGCGUACACGGUGGAUGCCCUGGCAGUCAGAGGCGAUGAAGGACGUGCUAAUCUGCGAUAAGCGCCGGUAAGGUGAUAUGAACCGUUAUAACCGGCGAUUUCCGAAUGGGGAAACCCAGUGUGACUCGUCACACUAUCAUUAACUGAAUCCAUAGGUUAAUGAGGCGAACCGGGGGAACUGAAACAUCUAAGUACCCCGAGGAAAAGAAAUCAACCGAGAUUCCCCCAGUAGCGGCGAGCGAACGGGGAGGAGCCCAGAGCCUGAAUCAGCAUGUGUGUUAGUGGAAGCGUCUGGAAAGGCGCGCGAUACAGGGUGACAGCCCCGUACACAAAAGCGCAUGUGCUGUGAGCUCGAUGAGUAGGGCGGGACACGUGGUAUCCUGUCUGAAUAUGGGGGGACCAUCCUCCAAGGCUAAAUACUCCUGACUGACCGAUAGUGAACCAGUACCGUGAGGGAAAGGCGAAAAGAACCCCGGCGAGGGGAGUGAAAAAGAACCUGAAACCGUGUACGUACAAGCAGUGGGAGCACAGGUUUACCUGUGUGACUGCGUACCUUUUGUAUAAUGGGUCAGCGACUUAUAUUCUGUAGCAAGGUUAACCGAAUAGGGGAGCCGGAGGGAAACCGAGUCUUAAUUGGGCGUUAAGUUGCAGGGUAUAGACCCGAAACCCGGUGAUCUAGCCAUGGGCAGGUUGAAGGUUGGGUAACACUAACUGGAGGACCGAACCGACUAAUGUUGAAAAAUUAGCGGAUGACCUGUGGCUGGGGGUGAAAGGCCAAUCAAACCGGGAGAUAGCUGGUUCUCCCCGAAAGCUAUUUAGGUAGCGCCUCGUGAAUUCAUCUCCGGGGGUAGAGCACUGUUUCGGCUAGGGGGCCAUCCCGGCUUACCAACCCGAUGCAAACUGCGAAUACCGGAGAAUGUUAUCACGGGAGACACACGGCGGGUGCUAACGUCCGUCGUGAAGAGGGAAACAACCCAGACCGCCAGCUAAGGUCCCAAAGUCAUGGUUAAGUGGGAAACGAUGUGGGAAGGCCCAGACAGCCAGGAUGUUGGCUUAGAAGCAGCCAUCAUUUAAAGAAAGCGUAAUAGCUCACUGGUCGAGUCGGCCUGCGCGGAAGAUGUAACGGGGCUAAACCAUGCACCGAAGCUGCGGCAGCGACGCUGAUGCGUUGUUGGGUAGGGGAGCGUUCUGUAAGCCUGCGAAGGUGGCCUGUGAGGGUUGCUGGAGGUAUCAGAAGUGCGAAUGCUGACAUAAGUAACGAUAAAGCGGGUGAAAAGCCCGCUCGCCGGAAGACCAAGGGUUCCUGUCCAACGUUAAUCGGGGCAGGGUGAGUCGACCCCUAAGGCGAGGCCGAAAGGCGUAGUCGAUGGGAAACGGGUUAAUAUUCCCGUACUUGGUGUUACUGCGAAGGGGGGACGGAGAAGGCUAUGUUGGCCGGGCGACGGUUGUCCCGGUUUAAGCGUGUAGGUGUGUGUUCCAGGUAAAUCCGGUUCACUUUAACACUGAGGCGUGAUGACGAGGCACUACGGUGCUGAAGCAACAAAUGCCCUGCUUCCAGGAAAAGCCUCUAAGCAUCAGGUAACAUCAAAUCGUACCCCAAACCGACACAGGUGGUCAGGUAGAGAAUACCAAGGCGCUUGAGAGAACUCGGGUGAAGGAACUAGGCAAAAUGGUGCCGUAACUUCGGGAGAAGGCACGCUGACACGUAGGUGAAGUGAUUUACUCAUGGAGCUGAAGUCAGUCGAAGAUACCAGCUGGCUGCAACUGUUUAUUAAAAACACAGCACUGUGCAAACACGAAAGUGGACGUAUACGGUGUGACGCCUGCCCGGUGCCGGAAGGUUAAUUGAUGGGGUCAGCGCAAGCGAAGCUCCUGAUCGAAGCCCCGGUAAACGGCGGCCGUAACUAUAACGGUCCUAAGGUAGCGAAAUUCCUUGUCGGGUAAGUUCCGACCUGCACGAAUGGCGUAAUGAUGGCCAGGCUGUCUCCACCCGAGACUCAGUGAAAUUGAACUCGCUGUGAAGAUGCAGUGUACCCGCGGCAAGACGGAAAGACCCCGUGAACCUUUACUAUAGCUUGACACUGAACAUUGAGCCUUGAUGUGUAGGAUAGGUGGGAGGCUUUGAAGUGUGGACGCCAGUCUGCAUGGAGCCGACCUUGAAAUACCACCCUUUAAUGUUUGAUGUUCUAACGUGGACCCGUGAUCCGGGUUGCGGACAGUGUCUGGUGGGUAGUUUGACUGGGGCGGUCUCCUCCUAAAGAGUAACGGAGGAGCACGAAGGUUGGCUAAUCCUGGUCGGACAUCAGGAGGUUAGUGCAAUGGCAUAAGCCAGCUUGACUGCGAGCGUGACGGCGCGAGCAGGUGCGAAAGCAGGUCAUAGUGAUCCGGUGGUUCUGAAUGGAAGGGCCAUCGCUCAACGGAUAAAAGGUACUCCGGGGAUAACAGGCUGAUACCGCCCAAGAGUUCAUAUCGACGGCGGUGUUUGGCACCUCGAUGUCGGCUCAUCACAUCCUGGGGCUGAAGUAGGUCCCAAGGGUAUGGCUGUUCGCCAUUUAAAGUGGUACGCGAGCUGGGUUUAGAACGUCGUGAGACAGUUCGGUCCCUAUCUGCCGUGGGCGCUGGAGAACUGAGGGGGGCUGCUCCUAGUACGAGAGGACCGGAGUGGACGCAUCACUGGUGUUCGGGUUGUCAUGCCAAUGGCACUGCCCGGUAGCUAAAUGCGGAAGAGAUAAGUGCUGAAAGCAUCUAAGCACGAAACUUGCCCCGAGAUGAGUUCUCCCUGAGACUUAAAGUCUCCUGAAGGAACGUUGAAGACGACGACGUUGAUAGGCCGGGUGUGUAAGCGCAGCGAUGCGUUGAGCUAACCGGUACUAAUGAACCGUGAGGCUUAACCUUACAACGCCGAAG
rnacentral:rRNA from 3 species